UGGGGAAUAUUGGACAAUGGGCGCAAGCCUGAUCCAGCCAUGCCGCGUGCAGGAUGACGGUCCUAUGGAUUGUAAACUGCUUUUGUACAGGAAGAAACAGUUCUACGUGUAGAACCUUGACGGUACUGUAAGAAUAAGGAUCGGCUAACUCCGUGCCAGCAGCCGCGGUAAUACGGAGGAUCCAAGCGUUAUCCGGAAUCAUUGGGUUUAAAGGGUCCGUAGGCGGUUAGAUAAGUCAGUGGUGAAAGCCCAUCGCUCAACGGUGGAACGGCCAUUGAUACUGUCUGACUUGAAUUAUUAGGAAGUAACUAGAAUAUGUAGUGUAGCGGUGAAAUGCUUAGAGAUUACAUGGAAUACCAAUUGCGAAGGCAGGUUACUACUAAUGGAUUGACGCUGAUGGACGAAAGCGUGGGUAGCGAACAGGAUUAGAUACCCCCGUAGUCCCUGAGCGGGCUGGCAAGGCGCAU
rnacentral:rRNA from 1 species